AUAUAUAUACUGGACAAUUAUAUAUAUAUAUUUUUCAACACCCUUUUGGGAUUGCUGUUCUUAUCAGUCCGCUUUUUUGUGACUCUAGGUUGCAGCAAAACGAGAUUCCACCAAAACAUUAGGAAGAACUUCCUGACAGUAAGAGCUGUUCGACAGUGGAAUUUGCUGCCAAGGAGUGUGGUGGAGUCUCCUUCUUUGGAGGUCUUUAAGCAGAGGCUUGACCACCAUAUGUCAGGAGUGCUCUGAUGGUGUUUCCUGCUUGGCAGGGGGUUGGACUCGAUGGCCCUUGUGGUCUCUUCCAACUCUAUGAUUCUAUGAUUUAGGAGUUAUCUUCAUCAUUCUGAUUUUUGAUGGUAACGCUGCAGCAAAAUGAGGCGCCUCUUUGUGUGUGGUUGUCGUUAUUAUCAUCAGUCCGCUAGCUGGUGACUCCAGGCUUGGGCAAAAUGGGACUCCCUUUUGGGGCUAUUUAUGUACAGUAGUACCUCUGGUUACGUACUUAAUUCGUUCCAGAGGUCCGUUCUUAACCUGAAACUGUUCUUAACCUGAAGCACCACUUUAGCUAAUGGGGCCUCCUGCUGCCGCCACGCCACCGGAGCACAAUUUCUGUUCUCAUCCUGAAGCAAAGUUCUUAACCCGAGGUACUAUUUCUGGGUUAGCGGAGUCUGUAACCUGAAGCGUCUGUAACCUGAGAUACCACUGUAUUUACUACCCUUCACUUUUUGACUUUUCAUUUCUUGCCCUUUGCCCUAAAAUCCCAGGGUGGGAUUAGAACACAAUAUGAAAUCAGUUUUAAAAUAAUUUGCCUUUCCUUCUUUGCCAUAGCACCAGAGCAUUGUGGGGCUUUUUAAAACAAAGCUUCCGGCAAAACUCCAGAGUUGCCCGUUGGAGCUUCAUGGAGCCUCCAUGUUCAGCAACAGUCUAUUGCUUGGUACCUGCUGCAGGGGACAAGCAGCAAGGAGUGGUGGUGGUCCAGUAGCCACCUUCAUGCCCCCAACUGAUUGCAAAGGGGUCUUGCCUGACCUGCCCUGGCAGCCCCACCCGUUCUCCCACUUAAAAGAGGCAGGUGGCAGAAAAGGCCCCCUGGCCCCCUUCCAUACUGGAAAAUGGCCAUCAGUCCCAAGAGACAAUUCUAGGCCAAGCAGGCUAAUGGCCAGAGGUUGUGUAAGGCAACUUCUUGUAGCGACUGUGGGCCAAUGCUGUGCAGUGGUUAGAGGGUCGAACCUGGAAAUGGGUGAGACCACAGUUCAGAUCCCCACUCUGCCAUCAUGAAGCUCAGUGGGUGACUUUGGGUCACAGACGCCGCAUCUCAGCCUAACCCACCUCACAGAGAAAAGGGACAGCCAUGUAUGCCACCUUGAUUCUCCAUGGAGUAAAGGUGGGAUAUGAUUUAAAUAAAUAAUGUGCAAGGUGACAGUGCACUAGGUGCUGGGGGUGCACAGCAGGAGAGGGCAACCUUUUGCAUGCCUGGUUUGUGAAGCACACUAGAAACACAAUCUUCCCCAACGUUGCUUCACCUUCCUUCCCAUGGAAUGAGCUUCACCACAUUUGGUGGUGUUCUGGUUUGCCAUUCAUGCACGUUAAAGAGUCCCUCACCAUGGAAGCAACAUAUUUCGAUUUCAACAAGGCCUCCUUUGAUAUUUUUGUUCUAGUUCUAGCGUAGAGAGAAAAAAAAUCUAUCCAGUUUAUCCGUGCCAUGCAUAAUUUUAUAAAUGUCUGUAUGUCAUUUCUUGCUCUUAAAAGGUACCUAAAACCGAAGGGAGCUGCUGCAGGCAAGAUCCAUGCGCUACUACCUCAACUGAUCACUUGCUGGCAGUUCCUGAGAAUGGAAGUAGCCUUGACAAACUUGACACCCAGUUUAACUUAGAAUUGACUUGUUUCAGACACCCCUUUUGCUGAUCCACCAGGAAAGGCUGAAUAGAGUCUUCCAGGUCUCGGGGGGGGGGUGUGUGUGCUGGAUUACUAAUUCUCAAGUAACAAGCUAUCCUUUUCAUACCACUGUACUUGCCCUUUCAAAUAAAAGGAAGGAACACUGUUGUGAAGAUCAGGUGUGCUGAUUGCAUCAUGUUAGGUAAUGUGAUGUUUUCAGAGGCAGG
rnacentral:lncRNA from 1 species